AUCACGACAUCGAACUCCGUCUUCUCCUCGACGACGGCGGCCGCUUCAGCGGCGACUGGAGCGGCGACGGCGGCGGGGGCGAAGGAGGCGGCGGUGACGCCGAGCUUGUCCUGGAGGUACUCGACGAGCUUCUGAGCGUCGGCGAGGGUUAGGUUGGAGAUCUGGUCGCCGAGCUCGACGACCUUCUCAGGGGCAUCGACGGCGGAGAUUGGGCGGACGGCGGAGGUGCGGCGGCGGAGGAGUGCGGGGGUGGAUUUGAGGGGGAAUUCGAUGGAUUGUUUGGGGAAUGUGGAGGAAGGGAGGGCGGAAUACGCUGUGGUGGGGGUUGCGUAGGAAGGAGAGCGGAGUGUGACGGUGGAUAGCGCAGAAGCCAUGGCCGAAUUUGGGAGAUAGG
rnacentral:lncRNA from 1 species